rnacentral:rRNA from 14 species
ACCCGCUAAGGAGUGUGUAACAACUCACCUGCCGAAUGAAUUAGCCCCGAAAAUGGAUGGCGCUUAAGCGCGCGACUUAUACCCGGCCAUCAGGGUGAGUACGAUACCCUGAUGAGUAGGAGGGCGUGAAGGUUGUUGUGCAGGGCGCGGCGUGAGCCGGUCUGAAACGGCCUUUAGUGCAGAUCUUGGUGGUAGUAGCAAAUAUUCAAA